AGCUUCCUGGGGUGCGUAGCUGAAGGUAGCAGGGAGCAAAAAGAAUCUGAAGGGGAAGUGAACAAUGUAGAGCGUAUCUGUGCUGAAGACGUAAGGAGAGAGUGGAGGUCAGAAGCUGGCAUGGUCCCUGGUGCAUGUAUCAGCCGCUAAAGCUGGAGUGGAUGAAUCAGAACUUUCCCCAUGGGAGCAUUUAUAAAAAGGGGACACCCAGCGCAGAAGAUGUUUUCCAGGGAGAUCUCGGGGAGCCCAACAAGCCAAGAAGAGCAGAGCAAAGCAUUCCAAGGAAGGACUCUAAGUCUGCAACCGAGCACACACGAGCACAAGGAAAGACCAUGUGAAUACACAGCAAGAACGUGGUGCUCUGCAAGUCAGAAACAGACCCGUCAUCAGACACCAAAUCAGCCAGCACCUUGAUCUAGGAU
rnacentral:lncRNA from 1 species